rnacentral:rRNA from 2 species
GGGUUGUGAGGUUAAGCGACUAAGCGUACACGGUGGAUGCCCUGGCAGUCAGAGGCGAUGAAGGGCGUGCUAAUCUGCGAUAAGCGCCGGUAAGGUGAUAUGAACCGUUAUAACCGGCGAUACCCGAAUGGGGAAACCCAGUGUGACUCGUCACACUAUCAUUAACUGAAUCCAUAGGUUAAUGAGGCGAACCGGGGGAACUGAAACAUCUAAGUACCCCGAGGAAAAGAAAUCAACCGAGAUUCCCCCAGUAGCGGCGAGCGAACGGGGAGGAGCCCAGAGCCUGAAUCAGCAUGUGUGUUAGUGGAAGCGUCUGGAAAGGCGCGCGAUACAGGGUGACAGCCCCGUACACAAAAGCGCAUGUGCUGUGAGCUCGAUGAGUAGGGCGGGACACGUGGUAUCCUGUCUGAAUAUGGGGGGACCAUCCUCCAAGGCUAAAUACUCCUGACUGACCGAUAGUGAACCAGUACCGUGAGGGAAAGGCGAAAAGAACCCCGGCGAGGGGAGUGAAAAAGAACCUGAAACCGUGUACGUACAAGCAGUGGGAGCNNGUGACUGCGUACCUUUUGUAUAAUGGGUCAGCGACUUAUAUUCUGUAGCAAGGUUAACCGAAUAGGGGAGCCGGAGGGAAACCGAGUCUUAAUUGGGCGUUAAGUUGCAGGGUAUAGACCCGAAACCCGGUGAUCUAGCCAUGGGCAGGUUGAAGGUUGGGUAACACUAACUGGAGGACCGAACCGACUAAUGUUGAAAAAUUAGCGGAUGACCUGUGGCUGGGGGUGAAAGGCCAAUCAAACCGGGAGAUAGCUGGUUCUCCCCGAAAGCUAUUUAGGUAGCGCCUCGUGAAUUCAUCUCCGGGGGUAGAGCACUGUUUCGGCUAGGGGGCCAUCCCGGCUUACCAACCCGAUGCAAACUGCGAAUACCGGAGAAUGUUAUCACGGGAGACACACGGCGGGUGCUAACGUCCGUCGUGAAGAGGGAAACAACCCAGACCGCCAGCUAAGGUCCCAAAGUCAUGGUUAAGUGGGAAACGAUGUGGGAAGGCCCAGACAGCCAGGAUGUUGGCUUAGAAGCAGCCAUCAUUUAAAGAAAGCGUAAUAGCUCACUGGUCGAGUCGGCCUGCGCGGAAGAUGUAACGGGGCUAAACCAUGCACCGAAGCUGCGGCAGCGANNGUUGGGUAGGGGAGCGUUCUGUAAGCCUGUGAAGGUGUGUCGUGAGGCAUGCUGGAGGUAUCAGAAGUGCGAAUGCUGACAUAAGUAACGAUAAAGCGGGUGAAAAGCCCGCUCGCCGGAAGACCAAGGGUUCCUGUCCAACGUUAAUCGGGGCAGGGUGAGUCGACCCCUAAGGCGAGGCCGAAAGGCGUAGUCGAUGGGAAACGGGUUAAUAUUCCCGUACUUGGUGUUACUGCGAAGGGGGGACGGAGAAGGCUAUGUUGGCCGGGCGACGGUUGUCCCGGUUUAAGCGUGUAGGUGUGUGUUCCAGGUAAAUCCGGUUCACUUUAACACUGAGGCGUGAUGACGAGGCACUACGGUGCUGAAGCAACAAAUGCCCUGCUUCCAGGAAAAGCCUCUAAGCAUCAGGUAACAUCAAAUCGUACCCCAAACCGACACAGGUGGUCAGGUAGAGAAUACCAAGGCGCUUGAGAGAACUCGGGUGAAGGAACUAGGCAAAAUGGUGCCGUAACUUCGGGAGAAGGCACGCUGACACGUAGGUGAAGUGAUUUACUCAUGGAGCUGAAGUCAGUCGAAGAUACCAGCUGGCUGCAACUGUUUAUUAAAAACACAGCACUGUGCAAACACGAAAGUGGACGUAUACGGUGUGACGCCUGCCCGGUGCCGGAAGGUUAAUUGAUGGGGUCAGCGCAAGCGAAGCUCCUGAUCGAAGCCCCGGUAAACGGCGGCCGUAACUAUAACGGUCCUAAGGUAGCGAAAUUCCUUGUCGGGUAAGUUCCGACCUGCACGAAUGGCGUAAUGAUGGCCAGGCUGUCUCCACCCGAGACUCAGUGAAAUUGAACUCGCUGUGAAGAUGCAGUGUACCCGCGGCAAGACGGAAAGACCCCGUGAACCUUUACUAUAGCUUGACACUGAACAUUGAGCCUUGAUGUGUAGGAUAGGUGGGAGGCUUUGAAGCGUGGACGCCAGUCUGCGUGGAGCCGACCUUGAAAUACCACCCUUUAAUGUUUGAUGUUCUAACGUGGACCCGUAAUCCGGGUUGCGGACAGUGUCUGGUGGGUAGUUUGACUGGGGCGGUCUCCUCCUAAAGAGUAACGGAGGAGCACGAAGGUUGGCUAAUCCUGGUCGGACAUCAGGAGGUUAGUGCAAUGGCAUAAGCCAGCUUGACUGCGAGCGUGACGGCGCGAGCAGGUGCGAAAGCAGGUCAUAGUGAUCCGGUGGUUCUGAAUGGAAGGGCCAUCGCUCAACGGAUAAAAGGUACUCCGGGGAUAACAGGCUGAUACCGCCCAAGAGUUCAUAUCGACGGCGGUGUUUGGCACCUCGAUGUCGGCUCAUCACAUCCUGGGGCUGAAGUAGGUCCCAAGGGUAUGGCUGUUCGCCAUUUAAAGUGGUACGCGAGCUGGGUUUAGAACGUCGUGAGACAGUUCGGUCCCUAUCUGCCGUGGGCGCUGGAGAACUGAGGGGGGCUGCUCCUAGUACGAGAGGACCGGAGUGGACGCAUCACUGGUGUUCGGGUUGUCAUGCCAAUGGCACUGCCCGGUAGCUAAAUGCGGAAGAGAUAAGUGCUGAAAGCAUCUAAGCACGAAACUUGCCCCGAGAUGAGUUCUCCCUGAGACUU